GUGGGACUGCCCGGUACGAUCGUGGCGAUUAUCCCUGAGGCGAUUCAUCAUCCUAGGGGGCUGUCCCUGCUAGGGCCCUGGCCCAAAGCACAUGGUCCCCACCUGACGUUUUUGGCGUCAGAGGAUAUUCCAGAAAACGGCUAUGGCGGUCCCACC
rnacentral:sRNA from 1 species